rnacentral:rRNA from 1 species
UAAUACAGAGGGUGCGAGCGUUAAUCGGAAUUACUGGGCGUAAAGCGCACGUAGGUGGAUAUUUAAGUUGGAUGUGAAAUCCCCGGGCUCAACCUGGGAGGGUCAUCUGAAACUGAAUAUCUUGAGUACAGUAGAGGGAAGUGGAAUUUCCGGUGUAGCGGUGAAAUGCGUAGAUAUCGGAAAGAACACCAGUGGCGAAGGCGACUUUCUGGACUGAUACUGACACUGAGGUGCGAAAGCGUGGGUAGCGAACAGGAUUAGAUACCCUGGUAGUCCACGCUGUAAACGAUGAGAACUAGCCGUUGGAGGAGAUAAAUCCUUUUGUGGCGCAGCUAACGCGAUAAGUUCUCCGCCUGGGGAGUACGGCCGCAAGGUUA